UACGUAGGGUCCGAGCGUUGUCCGGAAUUAUUGGGCGUAAAGAGCUCGUAGGCGGUCUGUCGCGUCGGCUGUGAAAACCCGGGGCUCAACUCCGGGCCUGCAGUCGAUACGGGCAGACUAGAGUUCGGUAGGGGAGACUGGAAUUCCUGGUGUAGCGGUGAAAUGCGCAGAUAUCAGGAGGAACACCGGUGGCGAAGGCGGGUCUCUGGGCCGAUACUGACGCUGAGAAGCGAAAGCAUGGGGAGCGAACAGG
rnacentral:rRNA from 1 species